rnacentral:rRNA from 1 species
AGAGUUUGAUCAUGGCUCAGAUUGAACGCUGGCGGAAUGCUUUACACAUGCAAGUCGAGCGGCAGCGCGGGGGCAACCCUGGCGGCGAGCGGCGAACGGGUGAGUAACAUAUCGGAACGUACCCUGUCGUGGGGGAUAACACAUCGAAAGGUGUGCUAAUACCGCAUACGACCUGAGGGUGAAAGCGGGGGAUCGCAAGACCUCGCGCGACAGGAGCGGCCGAUAUCGGAUUAGCUAGUUGGUGAGGUAAAGGCUCACCAAGGCGACGAUCCGUAGCGGGUCUGAGAGGACGACCCGCCACACUGGAACUGAGACACGGUCCAGACUCCUAUGGGAGGCAGCAGUGGGGAAUUUUGGACAAUGGGGGCAACCCUGAUCCAGCCAUUCCGCGUGAGUGAAGAAGGCCUUCGGGUUGUAAAGCUCUUUCAGCAGGAACGAAACGGUGGCCCCUAAUACGGGCUACUAAUGACGGUACCUGAAGAAGAAGCACCGGCUAACUACGUGCCAGCAGCCGCGGUAAUACGUAGGGUGCGAGCGUUAAUCGGAAUUACUGGGCGUAAAGCGUGCGCAGGCGGUUCCAUAAGACAGAUGUGAAAUCCCCGGGCUUAACCUGGGAACUGCGUUUGUGACUGUGGGACUCGAGUGUGGCAGAGGGGGGUGGAAUUCCACGUGUAGCAGUGAAAUGCGUAGAGAUGUGGAGGAACACCGAUGGCGAAGGCAGCCCCCUGGGUCAACACUGACGCUCAUGCACGAAAGCGUGGGGAGCAAACAGGAUUAGAUACCCUGGUAGUCCACGCCCUAAACGAUGCGAACUAGGUGUUGGGGAAGGAGACUUUCUUAGUACCGCAGCUAACGCGUGAAGUUCGCCGCCUGGGGAGUACGGUCGCAAGAUUAAAACUCAAAGGAAUUGACGG